AUUGAACGCUGGCGGCAUGCCUUACACAUGCAAGUCGAACGGUAACAGGUCUUUCGGGAUGCUGACGAGUGGCGAACGGGUGAGUAAUACAUCGGAACGUGCCUAGUAGUGGGGGAUAACUACUCGAAAGAGUGGCUAAUACCGCAUGAGAUCUAUGGAUGAAAGCAGGGGACCUUUGGGCCUUGUGCUACUAGAGCGGCCGAUGGCAGAUUAGGUAGUUGGUGGGAUAAAAGCUUACCAAGCCUACGAUCUGUAGCUGGUCUGAGAGGACGAUCAGCUACACUGGGACUGAGACACGGCCCAGACUCCUACGGGAGGCAGCAGUGGGGAAUUUUGGACAAUGGGCGCAAGCCUGAUCCAGCAAUGCCGCGUGCAGGAUGAAGGCCUUCGGGUUGUAAACUGCUUUUGUACGGAACGAAAAGUCUUGGGUUAAUACCCUGGGAUCAUGACGGUACCGUAAGAAUAAGCACCGGCUAACUACGUG
rnacentral:rRNA from 1 species